UCCAGUGCCCUCCUCUCC
rnacentral:miRNA from 2 species